GUGAUGCCUCCAAAAUUGGAAUAUGGGCUGUUCAAAAAGAAGUAUUGCAAAUUCAUUGUUGGGUGAGAAAUUAAAUGAUAUAGAACUUUGGGAAUACGAACAUCUGAAUUUUAGUGACAUAUUUUCAUGAGACUGAAUAUAUAACCUUCUAAGGAGAGGUGAAUGUCCCCUUGAUCAUUUUCAGUACUUGGAAAAAUUUGAACGGGUAGUAAUU
rnacentral:lncRNA from 1 species